AGGGACCAGAGUGACAGGUGCUGCAUGGCUGUCGUCAGCUCGUGUCGUGAGAUGUCGGGUUAAGUCCCGCAACGAGCGCAACCCUUGUUCUUAGUUACCAGCGGGUAAUGCCGGGGACUCUAAGGAGACUGCCUGCGAUGAGCGGGAGGAAGGUGGGGAUGACGUCAAGUCCGCAUGGCCCUUAUGCCCUGGGCUGCACACGUGCUACAAUGGUCGGUACAACGGGCAGCGAAAUCGCGAGAUGGAGCAAAUCCCUAAAAGCCGGCCCCAGUUCGGAUUGGAGUCUGCAACUCGNCUCCAUGAAUGCAGGAAUCGCUAGUAAUCGCGGAUCAGAAUGCCGCGGUGAAUACGUUCCCGGGCCUUGUACACACUGCCCGUCAAGCCAUGAAAGCCGGUAG
rnacentral:rRNA from 1 species